GGAGUAAAAGUCGUAACAAGGUUUCCGUAGGUGAACCUGCGGAAGGAUCAUUACAGAGUUCAUGCCCUCACGGGUAGAUCUCCCACCCUUGAAUAUUAUACCUUCGUUGCUUUGGCAGGCCGUGGAAACACCAGAGGCUCCGGCUGAUGCGUGCCUGCCAGAGGAAACAAACUCUGUUUUUAGUGAUGUCUGAGUACUAUAUAAUAGUUAAAACUUUCAACAACGGAUCUCUUGGUUCUG
rnacentral:misc_RNA from 1 species